AGUAGGCUAAGAGAUGCCAGUUAAUGGAUUCUGGUCUAAGCAGUGAGGUGUGAGAUGUGUCAAAUGCAUUUCUCUUUAACAUUGAGCUGUGAUGGGGAAGCAACUACGGUUGCGAACUCUCUGAUGUCACACUGCCAAGAAAAGCUUCUAGCGUAAAGUCAUAUCUACCCGUACCGCAAACCGACACAGGUAGUCGAGGCGAGUAGCCUCAGGUGAUCGAGAGAACUCUCGUUAAGGAACUCGGCAAAAUAGCCCCGUAACUUCGGGAGAAGGGGUGCUGGUGUAAAAGCCAGCCGCAGUGAAUAGGCCCAAGCAACUGUUUAUCAAAAACACAGCUCUCUGCUAAACCGCAAGGUGAUGUAUAGGGGGUGACGCCUGCCCGGUGCUGGAAGGUUAAGAGGAGUGCUUAGACGUAAGUCGAAGGUAUGAAUUGAAGCCCCAGUAAACGGCGGCCGUAACUAUAACGGUCCUAAGGUAGCGAAAUUCCUUGUCGGGUAAGUUCCGACCCGCACGAAAGGCGUAAUGAUUUGGGCACUGUCUCAACGAGAGACUCGGUGAAAUUUUAGUACCUGUGAAGAUGCAGGUUACCCGCGACAGGACGGAAAGACCCCAUGGAGCUUUACUGUAGUUUGAUAUUGAGUACCUGUAAGUCAUGUACAGGAUAGGUAGGAGCCAUUGAAAUAGGGACGCUAGUUUCUAUU
rnacentral:rRNA from 1 species